rnacentral:tRNA from 1 species
GCCUCGGUGGCGUAGUGGUCAAGACGCUCGCCUGGUAAACAGGAGGGCGUGGGUACGAUCCCAGCCGAGGCA